ensembl:lncRNA
UCACCAAGAGGCAGUGAAGCGCUCUGUGAGGCAGAGAGAAAAAGAAGGGAGGGAGAACCAGAGGAAAGGAAAGACACACACACGCUCAUCCACACACAGCUUGCGAAGAGGACACAGCCAGUCAGAGAGCAAGAGCGCUGGGGAAGAGCGACGACAUUGGAUGAGAAAAUUUUGUACCAAAAAAAACACCAACCAGAGGAGGUGCCUCACCUAUUUCCCAAUAUAAUCAAAUCCAGAGUGGAAGGAAGCAUAAACUGCAAGAAACCAGCAGUAAAAGUGCUAUUUAAAGCUCUAGGCGGAGAGGAUGCGUUCACCUGCGUCCCUUGCUCAUUGAGCGACAGUGGAAGGGAGAGGAUUCCCUCUAGAUGACUCCAAACUCCGCAGUUCUCUGCUUCCUCCCAGGCUGAGCAGAACCGCGAGGGACUGUCUGCCUGCCCUGCCUGCCUGCCUUCCUGCCUGUUAAAUGUGAACUCGAGCCGGUCUGUGGCUGCCUAGAGGAUGGGAGCCUGGGACUGAGAGGCACCGAGGCAGGUAGAGCGCGUACUGAGAUUCUGUCACAUCAUCGGCUUGAGUUCCAGGAUCCUGGGCUUCUCAGGACUUCUUUGCCAAGUGAACUAGUUGGCUGUACCAGCCUGCCUGCGGUCCUGGCUCCAAGUCCAAAUCCUCACCAUGGGUACCUAGAACUGAGAAGGAAAAUGAAACAGAAUGGAGACAAACAUUUCCAGUAUUCUUGAAGUGGAGUAUCCAUCAUCCCAGGUCAAUUCAUGACAUCAGCUUUCUGGGUGAACUGUGACCUUCACCUGAAUGCAGCAAGAAAAAGGAUACAGGAAAUAUGGGCAGGAAAGAGAAUGACUUAUCCAAGUCUGGCCAACUUUAUAUUCAGAUUUUUUCCAGUUAUACAGCCAAUUCAAGGAAGCUACACCCACUCACUGAUGAGAAAAGUGAGCCUCCAGGGGAUUAAAAGACUUGAACAUCUGAGCCAGGAUUUGAAUACAUACCAUACGACCAUGAGCCAAGAUCACCAUUAAAGGUAAUUUAAAGAUUACUUGUUUCUUUAAUUAUUUCUUAUUUCUUUCAGUUGAAAAAUCACUUGGACAAUGGCAUAGGUAGAUUAAGAACUCUGAGAUCUAGUGCUGCCACUAGAGGAUAAACAUAUCCAGAGAGUGAAGUCUUUGACAUACAUUGUUAGAUUAAGCUAAACUGGCACUCUAAUUUGUCAAACCCCUGGCUGUGACUACUUUUCAUGUAUAUUAGUUAUAAUUACUUUUAAUUUUCUACAAGACUAGAUCUCUUUUAACUUUAAAAUUCUGUGAUACUUUCACUCAAAAAAAAAAAAAAAAAAACCGGUUCUAGAAUCAUCUUAGCCUCAUGAUAUAGGUUGGAUUGGAAGGGACUGGAUCUAGAACUAGGAAUCAGACUACAUUCAGGAGUGUAUGGAUUGAUCACUGUGGACUAGAAAUCUGGCUGGGGAGCAAGUUUACAUAAAAGUAAUUAUGCUAUAAUAAGGGCUGAAUCCAAAGGAAAAUAGCUAUAAGCUAUAUUUUUGAAGCAAAAUCAUAAAUUUCUUUAUAUAUUUUGACUUGCUUGUGUUUAUCAUUCUAUUUUCUCCACUUUAAAUCACUACUGUAGUAUUAUCCAAUAAUAAAUAUUGCUCUAUAAAAUCCUAAAAAUGGUUUGGAAAUGAAAAAAUAAGAUGGAUUCGUGCAUUACAUCUCCUGUGAUAUCUAUCUCUUCUUUUCAUUCCAAUUGCCACCUUCUUGGUUUGAACUUGUAUUACUUUUCACCUGGAAUAUUUCAAUAACCUCCUAACUGGUUUUCUUACCCCCAGUUUUUCUCUCCUCAUCAGCCCUACAGUGCUGGCAUUGCAUAAUAAAAAUUACAACUUCUAGAAUUCUUUUUUGAUCUCUCUAGUUACUUCACAUUUACUUUUUAUUUACUUAAGUGCACCAUAUUUAGUUCCUCAAGACAAUUUAAGCUCUGUGAGGGCAGGAGUUAUUUCAUUUUAAUCUUUUGUAAUCUUUGUGAUGAGAGAAAGUAGAGAUUACUGAGGAUACAGAAUCUUGAGCUUUUGGACAUGUCAUUUUAUAAAGCAAUAUAAGUCAAUUGUAUAACAAAUCAACCAGGAAACCUCAGCUUGGCAAUGAAUUCCCAAUAUAGGAGGAAACAGAUUUUUAUGCAUAAAAAAAUUAAUAGGCCAUAAACCAGUAUACAAGAUUAAGGACUUUAUGUAUUGGGAGGGGGAUGAGUGAAUUUCAGAAGUUGGAAGUGGGGAGAGUGCAAGGGUAGAUUUUUCCUGGAUAUGCAACAGAUUCUAUUCAAUUCACAUGAUUAACAAACAGGUGGGAUUUAUUGAAAAAUUAUAUUUAAAUCUCAAAAUUAAAUCUGUUUUGCAAGACUAAAUCAGUUUGAGUCACACAAUUCUCUCAGUCUAGUGCCUAGCAUAUUUGGUACCUUUUAGGUACAAAUGUUUCUUUGUAAAUCAAAUGUUUAGUUUUUAUCAAUUACAGGAUUAUUUUGAUGAAUCUUCAUAUAUCUAAAAAUGACAAAUAAAAAUUUGCAUUCUUAUAUAAUAAGAUGAAUAAUCAUUAAUAUGGCAUUCAAGAACUUCUAUAGUCCGGUCUUUGUUUCAUUUUCCAGCUAAAUCUCCUAAUAUUUUUUCUCAUUUACUUUUGUACUACAAUGAAAUUUAUUCAAUUUCCCCAAAAUUAGUCCCAUUCACUUCCAAAUCAUCUUUUUCUUCAUGUUGUCCUAUCACUGUGAAAUUCCCUUUUUCUGUUGAAAUACUAUUCAGCCAAAAAUUUGUGUCACCCUCUACAUAUUAUGUGUUGCCUUUCUGUCAGAGGCAGUAAUUUUCUUCUUCAGGGUAUUGAAAAAUCAUGAAUAAUCAUUGUAUUGAUAAUGAAUAUUUUAUGUCUUCCAUACUCAUUCCUUUCUACAGUGUUAUUGUUCCUGUAUAAUGACUGUGUUCACUUCACUUUCUGCAUCAAUUCAUACAAAUCUUCCCAAGUUUCUUUGAUGUUUGAAAGCAAAUAAAAUACAAUUUAAAAGAAGAGACAGGAAAGACGUACUUCCUGUCGUUCAAAGCCCCUCAAUAUUAAGCAUUUUCUGAAUGUCUAAGAGAAUAUGAGCUCUUCCUCUUAUAACUCAAAAUCAUUCUUUGAUUCAGUUUCUAAUGUAGUUCUUGGAAUGAUAAUUAUUUUAGUUGUUUGUUUAUUUAAAAUUAGACUGGCCAUGUAUUUCAUUGGUAUAGGAACUAUUCAUGAAGUAACUCCAUUUACUAAGUCAAAUAAAUACCUGUUGUUCAAUUUAUGCUUUUUGAGUAUUGUCUAAGACAUUGAAAUGUUAAGGAAUCUGACCAGGGUCACAUCUUGUGUCAGAGGUGAGAUAUGAACCAAAGUCUUAACACAUUUUCUCUUUUAAUUCUUUACUUAUGAUUUCUUACAUCAGAGUCAGUCAUAAGAUUUUGAACUCAGAAGGCACCUUAGGGAUAAUUUUCUAACCCUUUUUUCUCUUUCACAGAUGAGGAUAUGGGGAUUCAGGUUAAAUGACUUAUACUCUCUUUUUUUUUCUUUAUCAUGACUUUCAUGUAUUAUAUUUAGAAUUUUUUGCAUUGUUUUCUUAUUUUUGGUCCUCAAUUAUAAUAUCCUUAAAUAUAAGGUCUGAAUCUUUGUAAUUUUUGCUAGUGUCUUAUGCCAUAGGAGGUAUUCACUAAUAAAUGGUGCUUUUUUGUAGUAGCAAAAAACUGGAAAUUAGCUUUCACUGAAUAGAUAACUAAACAAAUUGUGGCAUAUGAUUGUAAAACUAAUUUGUAGUAAAAUGAUGAAUGUGGAAAAGGGAGGAAUAAGGUGGAAUUUUGUGAUAUGAUGAAAAGUGAAAUAAACUGAAGAAGUAAAACUAUAUAAACAGUGCCAUCAAGGUAAAUUACAAGAAUCACAACCAAUCAAACUCAAUUAUAAUGAUUUAACUUGGUCCUCAAGAAAAUCUCUCAAAAUGUUCCUCCCUCUGAGUUUUUACAGAAAUAUGGGAAUGUAGGUGUGGAACACUAUCUUUGUUUAAUGCCAAACUGGUUAUAUGUUGGUUUUUGACUAACAAAGUCUUUUGUUUUUCCUUUGUUAGUCUUUCUUAUGAGAAAACAAUGACUUUCUUGUUCCUAGUGGAAAGGAGGUUAAAUUGGGAAAUAAAUGUGAUAUGAGAACAAUAAUUAUUUAAAAAAUAGUGGUGCUAAGGUCAUCAUAUCCUCCCAGGGUAAAUGUUACCUCUGGUUUACAAAUAAUUACAAAAUUGGUGAUUAACACAUUAUGCGGUCUUUGGUAAAAACUACAAUUUCCCAACUUUUAUCAUCAACAUCAUCAUUACUAUUACUAUUAUUUAGAGAUUCUCCUUAAAUAGUCCAAAUAUUUUUUUUUUUUCCUUUUCACCAUUUUGAAAACAUUCAGACAUAAUAGUUUGGGGACAAAAUCAGUAAUUUCAUCAAUUCUCCAUACCUAUUGUAGAAAUUAUUUUGAAAGACUCACCAGACUUAGUUACUUGACACAGCCCAACACUUCCUUGGUACAAACAUUUUUCAUUGGUACUCAAAACUUUCCUUCUUCCAUGAGAAUGGCAGCUAACAGAGGCUGCUUCAUUAUUCUCUUUUCUCCUUUUUAUGAUCCUACUUGAACUAAAAUACAAAAAGGAAAUCAUACUGGACUAAGAAUUAAGAGACCUGAAUCCAAGUUCUGCCUCUACCUAUAUUAAAUAUAGGAGAAUCACUUUCUUUCUACUUUCUAAGUUUCUUUAACUAUUAUGUAUAUGCAUG